rnacentral:pre_miRNA from 1 species
CAUGUACUCCCUCCAUCCCAUAAUUCUUGUCGAAAUAUUACACGUAUAUAGACGCUUUUUAGAAAUAGAUAUAUCCAUUUUUUGGCAAAUUUGAGACAAGAAUUAUGGAACGGAGGGAGUAUCAC